CAGCAGUAGCCGCGGGAACACGGAGGAUCCAAGCGUUAUCCGGAAUCAUUGGGUUUAAAGGGUCCGUAGGCGGUCUUGUAAGUCAGUGGUGAAAGCCCAUCGCUCAACGGUGGAACGGCCAUUGAUACUGCAGGACUUGAAUUAUUGGGAAGUAACUAGAAUAUGUAGUGUAGCGGUGAAAUGCUUAGAGAUUACAUGGAAUACCAAUUGCGAAGGCAGGUUACUACCAAUUGAUUGACGCUGAUGGACGAAAGCGUGGGUAGCGAACAGGAUUAGAUACCCGAGUAGUCCCUGUCUCUUAUCC
rnacentral:rRNA from 1 species